UAACAGCUCAAAUUUGAAAUCUGGCCCCCUCGGGGCCCGAGUUGUAAUUUGUAGAAGAUGCUUUGGGUGUGGGCCCGGCCUAAGUUCCUUGGAACAGGACGUCGUAGAGGGUGAGAAUCCCGUAUGCGGCUGGUGCCCUCGCCCGUGUAAAGCUCUUUCGACGAGUCGAGUUGUUUGGGAAUGCAGCUCUAAAUGGGUGGUAAAUUUCAUCUAAAGCUAAAUAUUGGCCAGAGACCGAUAGCGCACAAGUAGAGUGAUCGAAAGAUGAAAAGCACUUUGGAAAGAGAGUUAAACAGUACGUGAAAUUGUUGAAAGGGAAGCGCUGGCAACCAGACUUGGGCGCUGCUGAUCCGCGGGGGUUCUCCCCCGGGCACUCGGCGGCGCGCAGGCCAGCAUCGGUUUGGGUGGCUGGAGAAAGGCUGGUGGAAUGUAGCUGCCCUCGGGCAGUGUUAUAGCCACCGGUGGCAUGCAGCCCACCCGGACCGAGGACCGCGCUUCGGCUAGGAUGCUGGCGUAAUGGUUGUCAGCGACCCG
rnacentral:rRNA from 1 species